rnacentral:rRNA from 1 species
CCUUCCGGGCUGUAUAGGCUCAUUCACGUGGGAACCGAUCCGUUCUUGAUGGACUACUAGUCUGAUCGGGCUUGGACGGUACCACGAGGAGGAAGCACGGCUAAACUCGUGGCCAGCAGCCGCGGGUAAUACGGAGGUGGCAAACGUUGUUCGGAUUCAUUGGGUGUAAAGGGUAUGUAGGUGGCCUAGUAAGUCGGAUGUGAAAUUCCUUUGGCUUAACCAAAGAACUGCAUUCGAAACUGCAUGGCUUGAGUUUUGGAGAGGAGAGUGGAAUUCCCGGUGUAAGAGUGAAAUCUGUAGAUAUUGGGAGGAACACCAGUGGCGAAAGCGACUCUCUGGCCAAAAACUGACACUGAAAUACGAAAGCUAGAGGAGCAAACAGGAUUAGAUACCCUGGUAGUUCUAGCCGUAAACGAUGAACACUAGGUGUGGGGUCCACAGGGCUCUGUGCCGAAGUUAACACAUUAAGUGUUCCACCUGGGGACUACGGCCGCAAGGUUGAAACUCAAAGAAAUUGACGGGGACCCGCACAAGCGGUGGAGCAUGUGGUUUAAUACGACGCUACGCGUGGAACCUUACCAGGGCUUGAAAAGUGCAUGAAAUCCUAGUGAAAGCUAGGACCUCCUUUCCGGGACAUGCACACAGGUGUUGCAUGGCUGUCGUCAGCUCGUGUCGUGAGAUGUUGGGUUAAGUCCCGCAACGAGCGCAACCAUCGUCUUUAGUUGCCAUCAGUUCGGCUGGGCACUCUAGAGAGACUGCCGGCGAUAAGCUGGAGGAAGGUGGAGAUGACGUCAAGUCAGUACGGCCCUUACGUCCUGGGCUACACACGUGCUACAAUGGUCGGUACAGUGGGUUGCAAUACCGCAAGGUGGAGCCAAUCCUAAAAGCCGGCCUCAGUUCGGAUUGAAGGCUGCAACUCGCCUUCAUGAAGCUGGAAUCGCUAGUAACGGCACAUCAGACACGGUGCCGUGAAUACGUUCCCGGGUCUUGUACACACCGCCCGUCAAGUCACCUGAGUUGACUGCACCCGAAGUCACUGUAUCAACCCGCAAGGAGAGAAGGCCGA